UGCCACCGAAUACAUUAGCAUGGGAUAAUGGAAUAGGACCCUGUCCUCCUAUUUUCAGUUGGUUUUGGCAGCGCGAGGACUAGGGUAAUGAUUAAUAGGGAUAGUUGGGGGCAUUAAUAUUUAAUUGUCAGAGGUGAAAUUCUUGGAUUUAUGAAAGAUUAACUUCUGCGAAAGCAUCUGCCAAGGAUGUUUUCAUUAAUCAAGAACGAAAGUUAGGGGAUCGAAGACGAUCAGAUACCGUCGUAGUCUUAACCAUAAACGAUGCCGACCAGCGAUUAGGAGACGUUGAAUACAAAACACCACCAUCGGCGCGGUCGUCCUUGGCGUCUCUGUCCCUUUCAACGGGGGCAGGCGCGAGGGCGGUUUAGCCCGGUGGCACCGGUGAAUGACUC
rnacentral:rRNA from 1 species